AUCAUACUCCCUCCGUUCGGAAUUACUUGUCUCGGAUAUGGAUGUAUGUAGAACUAAAAUACGUCUAGAUACAUACAUUUCUGUGACAAGUAAUUCCAAAUGGAGGGAGUAUUUU
rnacentral:pre_miRNA from 1 species